GAUGAAGAACGUAGCGAAAUGCGAUAAGUAGUGUGAAUUGCAGAAUUCAGUGAAUCAUCGAAUCUUUGAACGCACAUUGCGCCCUUUGGCAUUCCGAAGGGCAUACCUGUUCGAGCGUCAUUUCAACCGUCAAGCCUGGCUUGGUGUUGGGCGUCUUGUCCCGCUAUGUGCGCGGACUCGCCUUAAAAGAAUCGGCGUCUCUAUGUUGGCCUGAUGCGUAGCACAAUUCGCAGACCAGGCAGGCGUACCGGCGGCCGGAAAGCACCUUUUUUUUUGUUUGACCUCGGAUCAGGUAGGGAUACCCGCUGAACUUAAGCAUAUCAAUAAGCGGAGGA
rnacentral:misc_RNA from 1 species